CCUUCCUUCAGGUGGGGAAUAACCCAGUGAAAAUUGGGCUAAUACCGCAUAACAUGACGAUGCCACAUGGUGUUGUCUUCAAAGGCGCAAGUCGCCAGAAGAGGGAUCCGCGGCCAAUUAGCUUGUUGGCGAGGUAAUGGCUCACCAAGGCUUUGAUCGGUAGCCGGACUGAGAGGUUGACCGGCCACACUGGAACUGAGACACGGUCCAGACUCCUACGGGAGGCAGCAGUGGGGAAUCUUGCACAAUGGACGAAAGUCUGAUGCAGCAACGCCGCGUGGGGGAUGAAGCUUCUCGGAGUGUAAACCCCUUUCGACCCGGAAGAAAGCCCGCAAGGGUUUGACGGUACGGGUAUAAGAAGCCCCGGCUAACUACGUGCCAGCAGCCGCGGUAAUACGUAGGGGGCCAGCGUUGCUCGGAAUUACUGGGCGUAAAGGGUCCGUAGGCGGUGUGGCAAGUCGGGAGUGAAAUCUCUGGGCUUAACCCAGAGGCUGCUUCCG
rnacentral:rRNA from 1 species